rnacentral:lncRNA from 1 species
UCAUUCUGGUUUGUACUAUUUCAAGUCUUCUGAAAGUUGGGCUGGUAGAUGAUAGAAGUUAGUGCCAGUUAUUUGAUAAAUUAUGUGUAUCGGAUGAAUAUAUAUCAAAAGAAGUUUAGUUCUUCCUUAGCCAAGCUAAUUGUUCUUAACUAAUCUAAGGCUCAAAGGUAGGGUAUAUUAGCUCUUCUGCUAUUUUUAAGUCCAUAACUGGUAGACUUUGUUUCCUCAUUUCUUUUUUGGUUUUAGCAAACCUACAGAGUCAAAGUCCGGGGGUAAUCGACGAAUUACCCAUCUAAACACCAUCUACUUUGUCUCAACCAAUUGAACUUUUCUUACUUCAGGCACUUAAAGUAUGUUCUAGAUUUUGAAAGUGAAUUGCCCCAAUGGUCAUGCUACUCUGCAUAGCAACCAUAGUUCCUGGGUUUGAGUCUUGGGUGGUGCAUCCCCAAGCAUUUGGGCCUGGGUCAUUAUAAUGGGUGGAUCUUCCUCCCUUUUGCUAAAAAAACGAAGAAAGUUGGAAUGCAGAUUUAACAACCCUG